rnacentral:lncRNA from 1 species
UCCACUCCCUCCAAAUCUUCCUCUUCUUCCUCAUUUCCUUCUCGUACCUGGUUUGUCCCUCCUCUCUCUAUUUCCUCUGCUGCCAGUCAGUCUCAUCUUUCCUCUCCUUCCUCCUCUUCCCUCAACUCUAAUUCUAAUCAAGCUGGUAGCCACAGUACCACUCCCAGGUCUGCCCCUGCUUUCAAUCCUGAGCAAUCUGCUCCCUCUGAUCAGUCAUCCCCCACUUCUAGUUCACAGUCAGUUUCUCUUGUUCCCCAACCCAUCACUGCCAUCCCUAUCUCCUCUUCUUCUGACUCUCCUGCCCUUAUUCUUUCUGAUCCAGCUGAAGCCAGUACCAUCUCACCUUCUUCCUCUCAACAUCGCUCCUCUUCAGCUGGUCCUAGCCCUAGUCCCAACCCUCCC